rnacentral:lncRNA from 1 species
CUUUGCUCCAAGCGCCCUGGGUGGGUAGAGGCCAGGUCCAGUAUGAGGAGCCCUGGUUCCCUGAGGUAGAUGGAGCCAGGCAGAAGUUGAGUAGACAUGGGGGCUGCAGCCCUGGCCCCACUGCCCGACUCUCUCUCUGCAUUUCAGGAGCUGGCAAGAUCCAAGGGGGUCCCCAAGGCCCUGAGGCUGCACUGAGCACCCCUUUCCUGCCCAUUUUCGGAUGCAGCGGUGUCCUGGACCCCUGGGGAGAGGUGACCCCCCCCCCCAGCAGGAAGCUGGGCCUGGUUUCUGUCCCUCUGCAGCCACAAGGCCUGGCCAGGAUGCUGGGAGCACCACACCCUGGAGACUCAGCUCACCAAGGACUCAGGGGCGGGGGAUCCCCUGGCACCUGGGAAGCUGGGCCCCCGGCCCCCUGGACUCCCACCCAGACACCAUCUCAACCCAGGCACUUCCCCCGGGCCAGAGGGCAGCCUGGCAGCCCUGGACUCUGGGAGGGCCGAGUCUGGGGAGCUGGAGGACGUCACAUUCCACUCUUGAUGAUGCCGCCCCAGUCCUACAAUCUGGACAGCAGGAGAAGCUGCCCAUUUCCUCCAUCUCCGGUCCCUGGAGGUUCCCCGGAUCCUUUCAGGGGAGACCAUGGGCCCUAAACGAUCUUCAUAACAAAACUGAGAAGUGGCCUGGCUUCUUCACUGUGCACCUGUGUGCUGGGAUCCAGCGUGGUCUGACUGGGCAGCUCCUUUCCUUCCCUGACGCUGCUCCAGGAGAAAGAAGGACCAGGGUCAAUCCGGGGUGCCCCAGGUGGAUCAGCGAAUGCCCCUGAAGCCAGGUGCCAGUUGCAUCCCCGUCCGAUGCCCCCACCCCAGUCUCCUGAGCCUCAUUAGUCACCCCUCAUUUUCCUCUGGGGACCCCAGGCCCCAGCUCCUGUCUGGUUAGAGGCUGAAGGGGUCUGAGCGACACCUACCCUAGGGGACCUCCGGAGGGGUCUUGGUGUCCUCUGACUUCUAUCCUCAGAAGGGAGCUCAGAAUGCAGCUGAGGCUUCCCCUGGGGCCCAGGGUGUCUGUGUCCGAGCCACAGCCAGAGUGUGCCCUGGAGAGCCGCUGGGAUGCACGGUGGGCUCUCGUCAUCCUGUCCCCACUCCAGGCUUAGGCUGGAGCCGUGAUGGCACCGCUGCACUCCAACCUGGGCAACAGAGUGAGACCCUGUCUCUAUAAAAUAAAAACAAAAAUAAAGAAGAGCAUGUGGUUUCUGCAGUUUCCUGGCCAAAAAUGCAUAACUCCAAUCUCAAUCAUAAGAACACAUCCAACGUCCUCAACAAGGGGAGGUUCUACACACACCUGCCCAGCGCCCCUCAAAAGUGUCAAGGCGUGAAAGACAUGGAGGCAUGUAGAAGACGGGAGAGCCAGUGUGGCCUGCGGGACGGGUCCUUGCCUGCCUCGCCGGCCCUCCACAGACAGGACAGGGACAGGUCGUCAGCUGUCACGGAGGCCCUCGCAGUUUUCUGAAUGUGGACUUGCUGUUCCUGCCCAUGGCGUCGUCCACGGACUCGACAGCACCCCACUGUCCAUCACACCCCCACUGAUGCUGCUUCCCACAGCAGGACUCAUCCCAUGCUCAGGCAGUGCUCCCAGGAGCAGUGGGUUAAUAGGGCGUGGGACGGCCCCCUGAAGACCAGUUAUGGUGCCGGCCAGGAGGCCCUCUGAAAGGACGGGCGCAACCCCGCAGAACAGACCAGGUGCUCACCAUCCAUGUCUGGUGCCGCUUCUCUGUGGCGAUGGUAUCCAGGAAUCAUGGGUGGGAGUCACGGCCACCGUCCCUGUCGCACCAGCCCGCCUGCUCACACAGCCACCGUUCACUCUAGCUUGAAGGUCCUGCUUCCUCAGGGAGGAGCACUCCCUCCAGGGUCGAGGUGCUGGCCGUGUGGAGUUCGACGUCGGGACUGUCCCCAGGGGCCUCUCUUCCCACUGAAUCGACAGAGAGAAUGUGAGCUCGCUGUCCGGCGGGCGGGGCCGGGGAUCCUGUCCGCCGAGGGGACACCGGAUCGCUGCAGAGAGAGGACUAGACCCAGAGUCCAGCCAAGACCAGAACUGAGACCGGGCGACCAGCAGAGCCUGCACAAUAAUAAUGCUUCGUUUUGCAAAUGUAUUUUGUUCUUUUAUUGUAUAUAUUUAUCAUGUCCAAUGUGAUGUUUUUAAACGUGUUUACAUUGUGGUUAAAUCAAGUGGCAUAACACACAUGACUUCACA